rnacentral:lncRNA from 1 species
GGAGAAGUCCCAACCCCACAUCGUGCCUAUGAGCGAAGCUCCACACUUCAGACAUCGCAAUCAUGUUCCAGCAAAGGAUGGCCCACAAAUCGCAGCUUACAAACCUCCAAAUUACCCUCUGCUAGGAGCAUGUGGAUUCUGCCACAAGCAAAUGAUUCCUUGUAACAUGGAUAUGGAUUAGGAUCAUGUUUAGAUGUGGAGAGGUAAUUGACUAACUGCCUGCAAAACAAUCAUGUUUCGAUGGAGCCAUGGCAUGUCUCGCG